GUGGGGAAUAUUGGACAAUGGGCGAAAGCCUGAUCCAGCCAUGCCGCGUGUGUGAAGAAGGUCUUCGGAUUGUAAAGCACUUUAAGUUGGGAGGAAGGGCAGUAAGUUAAUACCUUGCUGUUUUGACGUUACCAACAGAAUAAGCACCGGCUAACUUCGUGCCAGCAGCCGCGGUAAUACGAAGGGUGCAAGCGUUAAUCGGAAUUACUGGGCGUAAAGCGCGCGUAGGUGGUUCAGCAAGUUGAAGGUGAAAUCCCCGGGCUCAACCUGGGAACUGCCUCCAAAACUACUGAGCUAGAGUACGGUAGAGGGUAGUGGAAUUUCCAGUGUAGCGGUGAAAUGCGUAGAUAUAGGAAGGAACACCAGUGGCGAAGGCGACUACCUGGACUGAUACUGACACUGAGGUGCGAAAGCGUGGGGAGCAAACAGGAUUAGAAACCCGGGUAGUCC
rnacentral:rRNA from 1 species